rnacentral:sRNA from 2 species
UCCGGGCGGACGCCGAGUCCUGCCGCCGUCCCGGACGUCUGGUCGACAGGAUUGGAUCGGCAGGAGUGGAGGACCCGAGCAGUACGGGUCGCACGCGCUGUUUCCGCAGCGGGUCGGCCCUUGGGGUGAAGCCGCGACCGCGGCCGGGCAUCUUCGCCUGCCCGAACCCGACAGGUCAUCCUUCACAGGCGGCUGACGAAGGGUUG